CUUUACAGAUGCAGUGUUACCACUGUGAAGAGACCCUAUUGGACAAUGACUGCACGGAUCCUAAAUUCAUUGUCAACUGCACAGCAAAUAUUCAGGAUGCCUGCCAAAAGGAGGUGAUUGUGGGUGAGAAUGGUGUGUCCCAUAGGAAGGCCUGUGCUUCCUACACCACCUGUCUUAUCGUUUCUGCUGGUUACCAGCCCUUCUGUGUCCCUGGUCGGGUAGGGUCGGUCUGCAUCACUUGCUGCAAUACACACCUCUGCAAUGGGCCCCAGCCCCCCAGGAUCUCAAUGGCACCCCCUCACUCACCUGCCAUCUCUACUACACUGAUGAUUAUCACCAUAACAGUGGAAACACUACUUUGACAUCACACACCAACAUGUUUGAACACAAUAGAUGUACUGAAAUGUGGUUCUUUGGGGAAACUACAUUUACAACCUGAGGAGAAAUCUAUGAAUGUAUGGAGGUUGUGUUUUAAACAAAAUACUGGUUGUCCAUUAAAACAACUAGCUGACAUUAGAUUGUGAAUGUAUAGGUUACUUUAGCUUAAAACUAUGUAAAUGUUGAUGUUCAGAAUAUGUUUUGUGAAUGUGUUUGAGUAAAAAGACAAUUCUUCUCAAUUAGUUUAUUUUAACAAAUGUAUAUUCUUACAUUAAAUUACAAGCAGAAUUACAACAGCAAUCCCUGUAAAAGCAAAACAAAUUUUAUUCACAGUAUCAGAUAUGCAGAUUACCUCACUAACAGUAUAAUCUUCAACUGAGUAGCAAUUGAUAGUUUAGUAAACUUGUGGUGUAAUUGGCACUUCUAAGAAAAUAAAGCCUUAUAAAUGCAGCAGGUUGAAACAUGAAUCAUUGUUCCAUCUUAUUCAUUGAUGUCAAACAUGAGAAAAUACAUGAAGACGAGAUUUGUUGUAAAUAUUUCUGCAUUUUGGCUGCUCGUACUACUAUAUAGGGAAAAAUCACCCAUUAGCUAAUGAUUCAGGAUUUUUUAAGAACUUUGACUACUAUGCAUGUGCUUUAAUCAUGAAAAAAUUGUCUGGAAAGGAAGACUUUGCAGGAAUGCCAUAUCCUCUCAGUAAAACUAUAAAUCCAGAAUUUAACUUUUGUGAAGCCAUUGAGCAUACAAAUAAAAUAACUUGAGUGAAUUUCUUACACAAAUAAAUGUGUUUCCUUUAGAUCAGGGGUGUCGAAGUCCGGUCCUCGAGGGCCGCUGU